AACGAACGCUGGCGGCGUGCUUAACACAUGCAAGUCGAACGCGAAAGGGACUUCGGUCCUGAGUAAAGUGGCGCACGGGUGAGUAACGCGUAGAUAACCUGUCUUCAUGUCUGGAAUAAUACGCCGAAAGGGGUACUAAUACCGGAUAUUCUUGCUUUUCAUAAGUUAUGCAAGCAAAGGUGGCCUCUGCAUAUGCUACUGCAUGAAGAGGGGUCUGCGUACCAUUAGCUAGUAGGUGGGGUAAUGGCCUACCUAGGCGACGAUGGUUAGCGGGUCUGAGAGGAUGAUCCGCCACACUGGCACUGGAACACGGGCCAGACUCCUACGGGAGGCAGCAGUGAGGAAUAUUGCGCAAUGGGGAAACCCUGACGCAGCGACGCCGCGUGAGUGAAGGAAGGCCUUCGGGUCGUAAAGCUCUGUCAAGAGGAAAGAAGUGUACAAUGGCUAAUACCUGUUGUAUUUGACGGUACCUCUAAAGGAAGCACCGGCUAACUCCGUGCCAGCAGCGGC
rnacentral:rRNA from 1 species